rnacentral:rRNA from 1 species
CCUACGGGUGGCAGCAGUGGGGGAUAUUGCACAAUAGGGGAAACCCUGAUGCAGCGACGCCGCGUGAGUGAAGAAGUAUUUCGGUAUGUAAAGCUCUAUCAGCGGGGAAGAAAAUGACGGUACCUGACUAAGAAGCCCCGGCUAACUACGUGCCAGCAGCCGCGGUAAUACGUAGGGGGCAAGCGUUAUCCGGAUUUACUGGGUGUAAAGGGAGCGUAGACGGUCUCGCAAGUCGGAAGUGAAAUCCCAUGGCUCAACCAGGGGACUGCGUUGGAAACUGUGCAGCUGGAGUGCAGGAGAGGUAAGCGGAAUUCCUGGUGUAGCGGUGAAAUGCGUAGAGAUCAGGAGGAACACCAGUGGCGAAGGCGGCUUACUGGGCUUUAACUGACGCUGAGGCUCGAAAGCGUGGGGAGCAAACAGGAUUAGAUACCCGAGUAGUC